rnacentral:rRNA from 1 species
GAUGAACGCUGGCGGCGUGCCUAAUACAUGCAAGUCGAGCGGACAGACGAUGAGCUUGCUCCUCUGACGUUGGCGAGGGGCGGGCGGGUAAGGAGUGCAUAACCAUCUACUAUUUCGGGGAUAAUUACGGAAAGCAGCUUACACUAAUGCCUAAUACGUCCUACGGGUGAAUUCAGUGGAUCUUCGGACUUUGCGCGAUUGUAUUAGCCGAUGCCGGAUUAGCUAGUUGGCUGGGUAACGGCCUACCAAGGCGACGAUGCGUAGCUGGCCUGAGAGGAUGAUCAGCCACACUGGAACUGAGACACGGUCCAGACUCCUACGGGAGGCAGCAGUAGGGAAUCUUCCGCAAUGGGCGAAAGCCUGACGGAGCAACGCCGCGUGAGUGAUGAAGGUCUUCGGAUCGUAAAACUCUGUUAUUGGGGAAGAACAAAUGUGUAAGUAACUAUGCACGUCUUGACGGUACCUAAUCAGAAAGCCACGGCUAACUACGUG